UGGGGGAUAACGUAGGGAAACUUACGCUAAUACCGCAUACGACCUUCGGGUGAAAGCAGGGGACCUUCGGGCCUUGCGCGGAUAGAUGAGCCGAUGUCGGAUUAGCUAGUUGGCGGGGUAAAGGCCCACCAAGGCGACGAUCCGUAGCUGGUCUGAGAGGAUGAUCAGCCACACUGGAACUGAGACACGGUCCAGACUCCUACGGGAGGCAGCAGUGGGGAAUAUUGGACAAUGGGCGCAAGCCUGAUCCAGCCAUACCGCGUGGGUGAAGAAGGCCUUCGGGUUGUAAAGCCCUUUUGUUGGGAAAGAAAAGCAGUCGAUUAAUACUCGGUUGUUCUGACGGUACCCAAAGAAUAAGCACCGGCUAACUUCGUGCCAGCAGCCGCGGUAAUACGAAGGGUGCAAGCGUUACUCGGAAUUACUGGGCGUAAAGCGUGCGUAGGUGGUUGUUUAAGUCUGUUGUGAAAGCCCUGGGCUCAACCUGGGAAUUGCAGUGGAUACUGGGCGACUAGAGUGUGGUAGAGGGUAGUGGAAUUCCCGGUGUAGCAGUGAAAUGCGUA
rnacentral:rRNA from 7 species